AUAUAAACCCGAUUGAAGCGAAAAUCCUGUUUGUCAUCCUGAGCUUGUCGAAGGAGUAAAACAGAUUGAAGUGUAAAGCGGGACUGAAA
rnacentral:sRNA from 1 species